GGAAAACAAACAGGACAAGUGGGAUUUGUUCUUGUUCAUGCUUCGUGGUCUUGUUGAGCAUGGAUUAAUGGCAGAUACGGAGAUACAGUGCUGUUUGCAUGACCUCCAGAAACUGCCUUGGCCUUCGGACUUCUCCAAGGAACUAGAAGCCA